GACGAACGCUGGCGGCGUGCUUAACACAUGCAAGUCGAACGGAAAGGCCCUGCUUUUGUGGGGUGCUCGAGUGGCGAACGGGUGAGUAACACGUGAGUAACCUGCCCUUGACUUUGGGAUAACUUCAGGAAACUGGGGCUAAUACCGGAUAGGAGCUCCUGCUGCAUGGUGGGGGUUGGAAAGUUUCGGCGGUUGGGGAUGGACUCGCGGCUUAUCAGCUUGUUGGUGGGGUAGUGGCUUACCAAGGCUUUGACGGGUAGCCGGCCUGAGAGGGUGACCGGCCACAUUGGGACUGAGAUACGGCCCAGACUCCUACGGGAGGCAGCAGUGGGGAAUAUUGCACAAUGGGCGGGAGCCUGAUGCAGCAACGCCGCGUGCGGGAUGACGGCCUUCGGGUUGUGAACCGCUUUCGCCUGUGACGAAGCGUGAGUGACGGUAAUGGGUAAAGAAGCACCGGCUAACUACGUG
rnacentral:rRNA from 1 species